rnacentral:lncRNA from 1 species
CCCCCCAGGACCCCCAUCCCCACCCCGACUCACCGAAAGCGGGGGGUGGGUGUGUAGGGUGGGGGCUGCCAGCUCAGCCCCUUGGUCAGCAGCUUGGUGAGGGCGGAGGCGGUGGCGCGGGCGGCGGGGGUCGGGGCGGGGGCUGCGCUGGCUGCGUGGUGGCUGCGCCGCUGCCGCACCGGGGAACCCACGCACAGCUUCACCAGCAGCCCAAACAGCUCGGCCAGCGCCCGGCCCAGCCGUGACGAGGCUGGGGAGGGGGAUGUGGGGUGAGCCGGGGGGGUCCCGGGCUCCUGGGUGCACCCCGAGCAUCGCCAGGGUCAGGAAUGCCAAGGGUUGGGCUCUUGGCUUUGUUACCGGGGGGCUUUGGGGUCCCACACACACUAUUAGGGUGCCACAUUUGGAUUCUUGGCUCCCCCAAUAGUGAGGACCCCAAAAACCCCCACAUCCAACCCUGUUCCACCUAUCCCAAAAGGAUCCCCAGUACUGGGGACCCCAAGGACCCCCACAUCCAACCCCUCCCCAUCCAUCUCCAGAGGAACCCCAAUAUUACUGCUCCCCUCUUUGGAGCUGGGGACCCCCAGGAUCUCCUCUCCCCCCCAGCUCCCCCAGUGAAGCUCUCACCGACCUCCCCCCAGAAGAGAGACCCCAAUACUGGGGUCCCCCCAAACUCACUGGGCACACCGGGGGUCUUCCCCCCACCCCACAGACCCCUGAAUCCAACCCCAGGUCACCCCCACCCCAAAGAGCCCCAACAUCCGCGCUCCCCUUUUCCUUCUGGGGGGACCUCGGGGUCUCUUCCUCCCCCUCAAAGCCCCCCCACAUCCAACCCCUUUAUCUCCCCCAACACUCGGUUCAACCCCCCCCCCAUUUCAGGGACCCCCGCCCAAUAUUGAUGCUCCUUUCAUCGUCACAACCCCCAAAACCCACCCCCUUCCCUCUCCGUACCCCACACAUCUCCCCAUAAAGACCACAGACCCCCCCCCAGAUCCUUCUCCCACCCCCAAAAUGGGGUUCGGGACCCCCCCCAAGGGUGGGGGUCUCACCCGACAGCAGCGGUUUGAUCUGCUUGAUGCGUGCAGCCAUGGCCGGGGUGAUUUUGGCUUUGCCUUUGGGGUCGGCGUUGCUGGGCUCGUCCGUCUCCAUGGGGGCCAGCGCCUCGCUGUCCAGCCCCAUCCCCUCCAGCAGCCCCUGGGCGGGGGGCUCGGAGCCCGGCCCCUCUGCUUCGCCCUCUGUGGGGUGAUGGGGGGGGUUAGGAAGGGUGUCGCUCACCUUCCUUCCUUCCCUCCUCCCCCAAAAAAAGCUCUGAGCACAGAUUUUGGGGUUUUGGGGUUGGGGUCUCGCUGCUUACCGGCUCGUUUGCCCCCCUGGGGUGGGCUGGGGGCUGUUUUCUCCUCCUUGGGGACCAACUUCUGCAUGUCGGCUUGGCCGAAUUCGCAGCCCGGGGGGAGGCUGGG